ACUCGCCUACAUGAAGUCGGAGUUGCUAGUAAUCGCGGAUCAGCAUGCCGCGGUGAAUACGUUCCCGGGCCUUGUACACACCGCCCGUCACACCAUGGGAGUUGGGAGCACCCGAAGCCGGUGAGGUAACCGAAAGGAGCCAGCCGUCGAAGGUGAGACCAAUGACUGGGGUGAAGUCGUAACAAGGUAGC
rnacentral:rRNA from 1 species